CCAGAGGUGUUCCUGGGGUGCUCCAGAGGUGUUCCUGGGGUGCUCCAGAGGUGUUCCUGUUGAGCUGGGGUGCUCCAGAGGUGUUCCUGGGGUGCUCCAGAGGUGUUCCUGUUGAGCUGGGGUGCUCCAGAGGUGUUCCUGGGGUGCUCCAGAGGUGUUCCUGUUGAGCUGGGGUGCUCCAGAGGUGUUCCUGGGGUGCUCCAGAGGUGUUCCUGUUGAGCUGGGGUGCUCCUGCUCUGGCCCUUAGGAGUGCAGUGGCUUUCCCUGACCCCAGCAGGACCUGCCCCCUUGGGGCUCUGCUUGCUUUGUAGUUGAUCUGCUCCCUUCCAGCCCAACCCAUUCAGUGAUUUUUGAUGAUUCUAAGAACUGAGGAAGCUCAGAAACAUCAUCCAGGGUAGAGAAAGGUGUGUGUGAGGGGGGGAGGAAGCUGCUUGUUGGGGGUUGUUGGGGAAGGGUUAGAUUGGAUUUAGCAGCUGGAUGUGGUGCCUUGGGAUUGCAAAACCUUCUGCAGCUCUUCAGCCUUCCUGCUCUCCAGAAAUGACUUACAAAUAGAUGUUGAAUGAUCAAAUAAACUCAGCUGUGCAGUG